rnacentral:sRNA from 1 species
ACACACACACACACACACACACACACACACACACACACAUCCUGAGAAGAGAUACCUUUAACUGAGUUUCAACAUUACCUCCAAAAGUGUAUGUUUGGCCUGGUGGUGAGGCCUGUCUUUGAUUCUGGCACUCAGGAGGCAGUGGCAGGCAAAUCUCACUGAGCAUUAGGCCAACUUGGUUUACACAGUGAAUUCUAUACCAGCCGCAUCUACAAACUGAGACCCUGUCUCAAAAACGGAACAGGACAAAAGCGUACAUUAGGAGCCUGUUUAAAUGAACUAAAUCCAAAUGUCAGAGUCUAAAUCAUUCACCUGAGAAUAGUCUAAGCUUCUCAGUGACUGCAGGCCCAUCAUGAAACAUAACUUCAACGCAUGAGGGUUAUUUAUUAUAUCAGGUCUGCAACAGUGGAAGCCUUGAAUAUGAAAGUAGGCUUGUGGGAGAAGAACCUUCUUAUGGUUACAACUUCAAAGGCCUAUAACACUCACACAUUAGGUCACACCUUAGAGAGACUUCUAGCCACUGAAGACCAAGGGACACAGGUGACAACCAUGGAACCACAGUUUAAUCUAGCAACUAGCCUCCAGAUUUAAAACACCUGACUCAGGAAAACUAUGCUCCUCCUAACCUUUUGAGGAGUGGUUUUGCUGCAUUAAAUCUUUUGGUUUUUGAGUGUGAAUUAUUAAUUCAGAUGUUGUUAAUUUUCAACAACUUUCCCCCAUGUUUCUUCCCCAAAUCAAGCGGGGACUUUAUUGUUUUCCUUAUUGGACAAGGAGAAUAUACAAGUGAUUUGCCAUAUAAACUUGUAUCUGUCCUGGUUUGCCUUCCAUUGCUGUGAUAAACAUCACGACAUCAGCAGCGCGAGGAGUGUACUCGGCUUACACUUCCAUGUCACGAUCCAUCACUCCGAAAAGUUAAGUCAGAACUGGAGACAGAACCGAACCCACCGCAGAGGAGCAAGGCUCACCGGCUCGCUCUCCACAGCCUGUUCACAUGCUUUCUGAUGCUUUCCAGUACUCCUGGUCUAGGGGCACCACCCACCUCGGCCUGGGCUCUCCCACAUCAGUCAUUAAUCAAGGAAAUGCUUCACAGACUUGCCUAUAGGCCACCUGGAUGGAGGCGCCUUCUCACUUGAGAUUCCCCCUUAACCGAUGACCUGAGUUUGUAUCAAGGGGACCAAAUGGACCAGCACAGCCUCCAACUAACCUGCGCUUUGCUGAGCCUCUUUCCUCUCAGUGAGGUUCUCAGAGGUGUGGUCUGGAGAGGAUGUGUACACUCGGUGAGGUUCUCAGAGGUGUGGUCUGGAGAGGAUGUGUACACUCAGUGAGGUUCUCAGAGGUGUGGUCUGGGAAAGGAUGUGUGUACUCAGUGAGGUUCUCAGAGGUGUGGUCUGGAGAGGAUGUGUACACUCAGUGAGGUUCUCAGAGGUGUGGUCUGGAGAGGAUGUGCACAGUGAGGUUCUCAGAGGUGUGGUCUGGAGAGGAUGUGCACUCAGUGAGGUUCUCAGAGGCGUAGUCUGGAGAGGAUGUGCACAGUGAGGUUCUCAGAGGUGUGGUCUGGAGAGGAUGUGCACUCAGUGAGGUUCUCAGAGGUGUGGUCUGGAGAGGAUGUGUGCACACUCAGUGAGGUUCUCAGAGGUGUGGUCUGGAGAGGAUGUGCACUCAGUGAGGUUCUCAGAGGCGUAGUCUGGAGAGGAUGUGCACAGUGAGGUUCUCAGAGGUGUGGUCUGGAGAGGAUGUGUACACUCAGUGAGGUUCUCAGAGGUGUGGUCUGGAGAGGAUGUGUACACUCAGUGAGGUUCUCAGAGGUGUGGUCUGGGAAAGGAUGUGUGUACUCAGUGAGGUUCUCAGAGGUGUGGUCUGGAGAGGAUGUGUACACUCAGUGAGGUUCUCAGAGGUGUGGUCUGGAGAGGAUGUGCACAGUGAGGUUCUCAGAGGUGUGGUCUGGAGAGGAUGCACACUCAGUGAGGUUCUCAGAGGUGUGGUCUGGAGAGGAUGUGUGCACUCAGUGAGGUUCUCAGAGGUGUGGUCUGGAGAGGAUGUGUAUUCUUACUUUUGGGUAGUGAAGAGCUGGAGAUGCAGUUUACUGGAACAAAGUCUGUCUAAGUUAACUAACCCUCAAGAAGUUAAGCACUGCUCACCUGUAACAAGCGAUAGGUGAAAAUACAAUGGGGUUUAACAGGCCAUACCCUUUCCUACACUUAAGUCUCUCAUUAUGUUCUCCUUACCUGUGAGUUUCUAGGUCUCCAGUCCAGCAGUAGCAUGAGACCCCAGCUCUAAAGCCCUCAGGGGCUGACAAGAAAGCCCUUGCUUAUCUUAUCUCCCAAGGGUAUGGCAUGAGGACAGACAUGAGAACCGUAAGAAGAGUGGAUUCUAGGGAAAUAGACAAAUUCUGUAGGAUUAUCAAUGCCCACGAUGGCAUGAGCAAUUCUUUAUCCCAGAGCACUUAAUCAUGAAACACACUAGCAACCCUCUGUUCUCUGUACAUGUGGGGUGCACUAGGAGGGUGGCAAGGUCAGUUCCCAGUAGCCAAGGCCUCUGAACCCCCUCAUGUCAAGAGGUUCUCCUCCAACUGCUCGAGCGCUCUCCCCUCACCUGGGACUGGGUAAGACAGAAGGAGACCUCUACAAGGCCCGGCCGUCUGAGAAGUGUGCCACAAAGGAAAGAGUGUCCCGGAACCUAAGAUGCUCAGGCCUGGGAGGAACCGGAACAGUCCAUCCACAUCAGUGACCACAGUUCUACCAGGAACAGUCCAUCCACAUCAGUGACCACAGUUCUACCAGGAACAAAGAGCAAGUGCACAGAGCUUGAUGAUCCACAAAUUAUCUCACAGGGUGCCUUGCACAAUUUCUCACAAUAGCCUUGUGAGACAGAGUUCACUAUUCUCAUAGUAGCCUUGAAGAAUCAUGUCAUACAACACGCCAUGGCAGAGGCAAGCAAGUCCAAUGCAGCUCUGCUCUGAUUUUGGAACCGGUGUUUUACUUUUCUAAUACCAAGUUUGAAACGGAGCUCCAGGGCCUGUCCUGUCCCUAGGAAGUGUAUCCAGGAGACCGCCAUGGGCAGAAGUAAGUACAGGAAAACAUACUGAAGGACAGAGGACAGAGAGCAGAGCAGAAGCACAGAGGAGAGAAGAUGCCAGGUGAGCCUGCUCACGUGGGUUUGGAAGACAUCACACAGCAGGUGGAAUGGUGACGCAGUGACCGCCCUCAGUGAGCUCACAGCAGGGACAUUUGCACGCAUCUAUGGAGGGCAGUGAGCCUCACUGCUCUCCUCCUCCUCAGCUUCUUCUCCAUCCCGUCCAGGCCAGCGUGCUUAUGCCGUCGUCUUCCCUCCCCUAGACGUGUGCACAGGCUCUCCCACUUGUGUCCAGGGAGUGACUGCUAGUCUCCACUCAGAUCCCGCUCACUGCUGGGCUUCAUCUGAAGGAAGGACUGUGUGUCUUGCAGACCCUGUUCCUCCUCCCUUGGUGAGUGAGUUAGACCCUUCUCAAGUUCACCCAAUAAGCACUCAGCUCUGAACACUGCAAUCCUUUCGUGUGGCCAGACUUCGGGCUUCUUGAAACAGCCUGUCUGACCCCGAAUCCCUCUGCAUAUCAUGUGCGUGCGUGCGUGCGUGCGUGCGUGCGUGCGUGCGUGCGUGCGUGCGUGCGUGCGUGCCACAAGAACAUGGGUUUAGGGGCUAACUUUCCCCAAGGCUAUGUGGACAGGUGGGAAGACAGAUGACCCAUGUAAGUAAGCAAGUUAAAAUAGAAAGUAAGCGCACUGGAGGAUUCAUUGCCCCAAUCUCCAUGAAGGGUAUACACGUGGUACAUAUAAACUCAAUACAUGGAUAAAAAUGAGUAAAUCUUUGUCAACUGAUUACCCAUUAGAAGAAAUUUUAUUUCCCAAGAGGUUUUGUUUCUUUCUACUUUAAAACGAAAUCAAAUACAAAGGUGGCAUUGCUAAGGCAACCCUGACAGAUGCUCAUAAUAUAAAUAAGGCUAUUUUCAUUGUGACUACUCUUUUGCAGAUAGAUCUAGCUGUUUGUGCCACGCAUUCUUACGCAGUUAUCUUCAGAGCUUACGGCAGCACAGAGAGGCAGAGGGUAUCAGAACUUUAAAGUCUGGGCUCCAACCUUAGCAAAUUCUUUGACCUCACUGUGCCUUACAUGUCUGUUACCUGUAACACUGAGGUGGCAGACAUCACAGGGUGGUCCUGAGAACACAACAUAACCUGCUAGAGACCAAGGACUCACUGUUCCACAGACCCAGUAGCCUGGCACCUUCAUACUGUCAGGUUGCCAUGAGGAAAUAAUAAUUUAUGAUAAAUUAAGAACAAGCAUUUACUAAUCCUGCCUCUCACUUUCCAGUUGUUUCCAUACAGUACUAAGAUGAUAAGCAGAAGAACUGUGCUGUCAGUCAUUCAUAAGGAAACAGAAGCGAAGCAGGAUGGCUCAGAAGAUAUUAGCAUUAGAACUCAACAACUCAGUUCCCAGGAUAAAUUCAAUUUCUCCUUCCUUAAAUGUCUCCACCCACACACGGGAAUGGCCAUGCAUACAGUGAGAGCCACACGAUUAUACACACCGCAGAGUGACUAUCAGUGGUCAGUAAGUAUGACCUGUGGGAGCCUAGGCUUGUAACCCCAGUGUGCGACAUCAGAGGAAGGAGGAUCCCGGGGCUCAGGAGCCAGGCUAUGUAGCAAACUGGGAAGCCACGCUCAGCUGAGAGAUUCUGUUUCAAAACACAGGGGAAAUGACAAUAAAGAAUUGGUAGCUGAUGUCUAACUCUGACGUUCACAAGGGCACACAAGGUUAAGUGUACCUGCAUGCACACAUACACCCAGUGAGAGCAAGAGACGGAAAAAAUCGUAUAUUAGAGUUCUGACAGCGGCAGUCUAAUAUCCUAAAUAAUACAGGGAAAAUUCAAGUUCACUAUGUUUGAGGGGGUGGUGGGGUUGGGAGUGCUGGGAUCAAAACCUUAGACUUCUAGGCAAGCAUUUUAUCACUAAGCUAUGUACCCCAGCUCUACUUACUUUCCAAACAACUUUCUCUUUUCUCAUCCUCUCCUCC